UACGGAGGGGGCUAGCGUUGUUCGGAAAUACUGGGCGUAAAGCGAACGUAGGCGGCUUGGCAAGUCAGGGGUGAAAUCCCAGUGCUCAACACUGGAACUGCCUUUGAAACUGCCAGGCUUGAAUCCUGGAGAGGUCAGUGGAAUUCCGAGUGUAGAGGUGAAAUUCGUAGAUAUUCGGAAGAACACCAGUGGCGAAGGCGACUGACUGGACAGGUAUUGACGCUGAGGUUCGAAAGCGUGGGGAGCAAACAGG
rnacentral:rRNA from 1 species